CCCAGCUGGGAUCGCUUUUCCGGUUAAACCGCCUCAGGCAAGAGCGGGAGCGCCGCCGUGGCAGAGCUGCCUCCGUGUGGAAAUUGCUUUUCAAGAGCACAAACAGCACUGCUUUUCAUGGAUCCUUCUUCCCUCAGUUGACACCUGGGAAUCUCGUGCCACCGCUGCCUCACAGCCUGCUGCAGGAACCCCUCUACUUCCCUCGCCAGGAGGAUGUUGGCGUUCCAGAGAGGCCGGUCGUCCAUCGCAAAAACUGUCACAUUCUAGCAGGUUCAGAGAAAGGCUGCUUGGAGAACCACCCCAGAGAGCCUCCUGACUAUGGAUAUCUGCAUUGGCUACUGCAGGAGCUAGAAAGAAACCUGGUUUAAGCCACUGUGAUUUGCAUGUUUAUUUAUUAUUACAUUGCCAUCUAGCCUACUCUAAUACACGUGCUUAAAAAGAGCCCUGAUACAUGAUGAGAACUCACAGCAAUGAAAACUAGCACUAGCAUUUUAUUGCUAAAAUCUGGAGAAAUGGCCACUAUUUGUAAAGUCCUUAGAAUUGGAUUGAGAAAUAUGACUGGUGAUCCAUGAAUGUGUUGGCACUGGGUUGCAGAAAACCUGAUGGCUGAAAAGAAGGUAGAAAGAUGCUUUGCCCUCCCCACUGUCUGCCCUGGCACAGAAAUGCAAAGACACUGCCAACCAAACAAUGGAGCCACCACUCCUCGACUACAGUGAAGCUUCCAACAAAUGCUGGCUCCCUCCUCUUCCACUUCUAGCCCAUCCUCGCCAGAUUCAUUAAUUUUCUGCAUGGGGCACUUGAAUGGCUCAGUUGGU